rnacentral:rRNA from 1 species
UAGGGAAUAUUGCGCAAUGGAGGAAACUCUGACGCAGCGACGCCGCGUGGGUGACGAAGGCCUUCGGGUCGUAAAGCCCUGUCGGAAGGGACGAAAAGUAUCGCUGAUAACACCUGCGAUAUAUGACGGUACCUUCAGAGGAAGCACCGGCUAACUACGUGCCAGCAGCCGCGGUAAUACGUAGGGUGCAAGCGUUGUUCGGAAUCAUUGGGCGUAAAGCGCGUGUAGGUGGUUUGUUAAGUCGGUUGUGAAAUCCCUGGGCUUAACCGAGGAAGUGCAUUCGAAACUAGCAGACUAGAGGAUGGCAGAGGAAGGUGGAAUUCCCAGUGUAGAGGUGAAAUUCGUAGAUAUUGGGAGGAAUACCGGCGGCGAAGGCGGCCUUCUGGACCAUUCCUGACACUGAGACGCGAAAGCGUGGGUAGCAAACAGGAUUAGAUACCCCCGUAGUCC